rnacentral:ncRNA from 1 species
AACAAAGCAUUGCGAUGGCCCCCACGGGUGUUGACGCAAUGUGAUUUCUGCCCAGUGCUCUGAUUGUCAACGUGAAGAAAUUCAAAAAAGCGCGGGUAAACGGCGGGAGUUACUAUGACUCUCAUCGUUUGAGGUGUCGGAUCAGGCAACCACCUGAUCUAGUAUCCGAGAUGAAGAGUCUGCU